rnacentral:rRNA from 1 species
AUUGAACGCUGGCGGCAUGCUUUACACAUGCAAGUCGAGCGGCAGCGCGGGGGCAACCCUGGCGGCGCGCGGCGCACGGGGGAGUAAUGCAUGGGAACGUCUCCUCGAGGGGGGGAGAAACACGCGAAAGUUGGGGUAAGACCGGCGGAGCUCUGAGCAGGAAAGCGGGGGACCUGCGAGGGCGUCGCGCUGGAGGAGCGGGGGAGGUCGGAUGAGCGAGUUGGUCUGGGUAAGGGUUACCAAGGCGCCGCUCGGUAGCUGGUCUGAGAGGAUGAUCAGGGACACUGGGAGUGAGCCAGCGCCCAGACGCCUACGGUGGUCAGCAGUGGGGCAUUUUGGACAAUGGGGGCAACCCUGAUCCAGCCAUGCCGCGUGAGUGAAGAAGGCCUUCGGGUUGUAAAGCUCUUUCGGACGGAACGAACUUGGCUGGACUAAUACGCCGGUCUGAUGCCGGUACCGUAAGAAGAAGCACCGGCUAACUACGUG